UGACAAUAAACUGUUUAGAACCAUGGGCUGUAUCUUUUCAUCAAGAUCUGCAGUGAGGAGCCAUGAAGGAGGCCUUCACCUACAGAGUCUUAGCCUUAUCUUCCAUAGAAGGCCCCUCUGUGCUUCCCGCCACAACAGCCACCAAGCCUGCCUCCACCUAGAUAAAGACAAUCACCACAUGAGGCAAGCCUUGCCCCCCAGCCCCAGGCUAGAUGGUAUCCCCGGCCCACGGAUCCCACACUCUGUUCUCUGCUCUUUGGUGACUCCCAGUGGUGCCUGGAUGUCCAAGAGUCUGAGAAGAACCCCACAGUCCCAGCCUUGUCACAGGCCCAGGGACCCCAAGCCAGCUCCAGUUUCCCAUGUCUCAGACUGCACCUUCCCACCCCCAGAUCUGUGUCUUGGCACUUUCCUACAGCUCAGCACCCACCUCAGCAGUGGCGGCAUGGGGUAAGCACAGUCAAACUCCCAGCAUUCCACCCAGUGUCAGAGUAGACACAGGCAAACAACCCUACAAGACAUCUCAGAAGUUCUGCUUUCAGACAUGGUGUCUGGGGAUGCUUGCCACAGAAUACAACUAAGGACUUUCCCAAGGAGGAACUUCCCAAGUCUGCCCACCUCAUAGUCUUUCUGGUCUCACAAGCUGGGAUGACCCAUUUUGUCUGGGAAGUUAAGAGGUCAGGACCCAAGUGGACAAGAAAGUUGUGGAGGCUGAGGGCACUGUGGAAGCCCCUCUGUGGGAGUUGCAGGCAUGUGUGCUGUGCAGCACUCCUCAACCUAAGAGCACCCAAACCUUCUCUGCCGAGUGUAUCAGCAACAAAUGCAAAGGCCACUUCCAUAAGAUCUGGUCACCCACAGUAUCGCUCAUACUAAUGUGCCAGGGAUUGAACUCGGAUCACCAGGCUCGGAGGCAAGCACCUUUGACAUACUAAGCCACUGUGGUCCAUAAGAACAUUAAACAAAGGCCUGGAAUCUUCAAAACCAAACUGUGUAAGAUACACAGAAGUGGGAGAGAGGCAAAUCAUUUAUUUGUUACUAGGUACUUUUUCUUGUGGGAAGAAAGUUUUUUGUUAAUUCACUCAACAUUUAUUGAGAGAUGCAAGCCAUCAAAGAAAUGGCCCCUCCAGAAACUAGACACUGCAGACCAAGGGUGAACGCCUAGCCUGGAUCACCGCAGCUCAGGAAGAGGCUGCAGAAACAGAAAGUGCCCUAGAUUCUUGAAGACUUUACAAUUGUUUAAAAUCACUUAAACUCUCUGGUAAAAGAUAUAGAUACUGGCUAAUUAUUACAUAAUUUAUUUUUAUUCUUAACUCUGUAUACUGUUAAUCCUUAAAGUAAUUUCAUUCUUCCUAAUUCAUUAUUCAAAUAUUUUUUUCAUGCCCAUU
rnacentral:lncRNA from 1 species